rnacentral:rRNA from 1 species
UACGUAGGGGCCGAGCGUUGUCCGGAGUUAUUGGGCGUAAAGCGCGCGCAGGCGGCCUCGCGCGCCCGACGUGAAAGCCCCCGGCUUAACCGGGGAGGGUCGUUGGGGACGGCGGGGCUUGAGGGCGGAGAGGUCGGUGGAAUUCCCGGUGUAGUGGUGAAAUGCGUAGAGAUCGGGAGGAACACCUGUGGCGAAGGCGGCCGACUGGGUCGACCCUGACGCUGAGGCGCGAAAGCGUGGGGAGCAAACAGG